UCUUUACAUUAAGUAUAAUUUAUGUUUUAUUUUGUAAGUUUAUGGGUUUUAUUUUAUACUUUUGUUGUGCUGGGGCGGCGUAGAUAAAUUAAUUAACUGUUUAAGUUGUAUAAACAUGGUUAGUGAUUAAAAUAGUUUGAUCCUUAUAUGAAGAUUAAUAGAUAAAGAU
rnacentral:rRNA from 1 species